AGAGGGCCAGCGAGCCCCGCCCAGGGGCGGGGCAAAUGUUAAAGUGUUCAACGCAUAGCCAAAACGUACGGCUGAAGCGUCCGCGCCUUUACUUAGAUCCCAGGAGCAGAGAAAGAAAGAGGGAGGUAAAUCAAUCAUUUGCUGACCUACCUACAGCAACCAAUGGAAUGCCACUGGAAAAAGUGACUUACAAUUGGUCCUAACACAACGAUCACAGCAUCCCCUUGGUCACAGGAUAAAAAUUUCUUACAACUUCUUAACUGAAAACCUAGAAGUAUAUCAGACUGCAAUAUGGAGCAGAAAAUUGAAUUAGGUGCUACGAACUUCUGGGAAUGAAGACAUUCAGAUUGCAAUCCUAGAAAGAUUUAUUCAGAGAAAGAGAGGCACUCGCCUGAUAUUAAGGCCAUGAAAGGUCAUAUCAGAUGGAGUCACCUGAGCAGGAUAAAAGAAACAAAAAACUGCUAUUCCUGACAAUAAAUGAAGAGAAGAAAUUGCUAUGGGCUCAGAUUCAGGUCUGGACUGUGUUGUCUUAACUCGUCCUUGGAACGUGCUCUCUCCUUUCUGGGAACCUUCCACUUCACUGUAGUCCAUCAUGCCACCUCACCCUUCGUAGACACAAUCCACAAUCCAUCACACUUUUUAUA